UGUACAAUCACAUAGCUUUCCUGCAAGCAUUGAAUGCUGCAAUACAUUCUGCCUCGCAACUUGAAUUUGGCUAUAUUUUUUUGCUUGGAAUCUUUCCAACAGAUUGCUUCAUUAUUUAGGAUAAAAAUAUAUUCAGACACGUUCUUACUAUUAUUAUAUCCAACUAAAAAUCAGAGUCAUAUUCCAUAAGUUUUAAGUCAGAUUCUCUAUAACUGAGUCACCGAUCCUUAGUAUUUCUCAAAUACUUAAAGAUGACGUUCUAGUGAUUCUCACCC
rnacentral:lncRNA from 1 species